GACGUAGGGCGCGAGCGUUUGUCCGGAUUUAUUGGGCGUAAAGAGCUCGUAGGCGGCUUGUCGCGUCGAAUGUGAAAUCUCAGGGCUCAACUCUGACAUUGCAUUCGAUACGGGCAGGCUCGAGUUCGGUAGGGGAGACUGGAAUUCCUGGUGUAGCGGUGAAAUGCGCAGAUAUCAGGAGGAACACCGGUGGCGAAGGCGGGUCUCUGGGCCGAUACUGACGCUGAGGAGCGAAGCGUGGGGAGCGAACAGG
rnacentral:rRNA from 1 species